GCAUCUCUUGAAUAUCAAAGGUGAGCCAGUACAGGAUGGACCCGCGUCUGAUUAGCUAGUUGGUAAGGUAACGGCUUACCAAGGCGACGAUCAGUAGCCGACCUGAGAGGGUGAUCGGCCACAUUGGAACUGAGACACGGUCCAAACUCCUACGGGAGGCAGCAGUGGGGAAUAUUGCACAAUGGGCGAAAGCCUGAUGCAGCAACGCCGCGUGAGUGAUGAAGGCCUUCGGGUCGUAAAACUCUGUCCUCAAGGAAGAUAAUGACGGUACUUGAGGAGGAAGCCCCGGCUAACUACGUGCCAGCAGCCGCGGUAAUACGUAGGGGGCUAGCGUUAUCCGGAUUUACUGGGCGUAAAGGGUGCGUAGGCGGUCUUUCAAGUCAGGAGUGAAAGGCUACGGCUCAACCGUAGUAAGCUCUUGAAACUGGGAGACUUGAGUGCAGGAGAGGAGAGUGGAAUUCCUAGUGUAGCGGUGAAAUGCGUAGAUAUUAGGAGGAACACCAGUUGCGAAGGCGGCUCUCUGGACUGUAACUGACGCUGAGGCACGAAAGCGUGGGGAGCAAACAGGAUUAGAUACCCUGGUAGUCCACGCUGUAAACGAUGAGUAC
rnacentral:rRNA from 1 species